AACGAACGCUGGCGGCAGGCCUAACACAUGCAAGUCGAACGCUCCGCAAGGGGAGUGGCGCACGGGUGAGUAACACGUGGGAACCUACCUUCUGGUACGGAACAACCAAGGGAAACUCUGGCUGAUACCGUAUACGACCUCCGGGUGAAAGAUUGAUCGCCGGAAGAGGGGCCCGCGUCCGAUUAGGUAGUUGGUGAGGUAACGGCUCACCAAGCCUGCGAUCGGUAGCUGGUCUGAGAGGAUGACCAGCCACACUGGGACUGAGACACGGCCCAGACUCCUACAGGAGGCAGCAGUGGGGAAUAUUGGACAAUGGGCGCAAGCCUGAUCCAGCCAUGCCGCGUGAGUGAUGAAGGCCUU
rnacentral:rRNA from 1 species